UCCUUGAUGGUUCAGUGGUUAAGACUCCAUGCUCCCAAUGCAAGGGACCCAGGUUCGUUUCCUGGUCAGGGAA
rfam:TPA: Bos taurus chromosome 19, whole genome shotgun sequence.